rnacentral:rRNA from 1 species
CCUACGGGAGGCAGCAGUGGGGAAUAUUGCACAAUGGGGGAAACCCUGAUGCAGCGACGCCGCGCGAGUGAAGAAGUAUUUCGGUAUGUAAAGCUCUAUCAGCAGGGAAGAAGAAAGACGGUACCUGACUAAGAAGCCCCGGCUAACUACGUGCCAGCAGCCGCGGUAAU